AUUUAAAAUUUAAUCAUUUAUUUUGAGAGUAAGAACUUUUUGUUCAUUAGCAAAACACAUGACUAAGUUUGUCAUGAGUUAACAUCCAAAAUCCUCAACUGCGACAUAUUUUCACAUAAUUACAGGAGAAAUUAGCAAAUCAGUAAUUAUCACUCUGAACUUAAACAGUAUAUAGCUCAUCAGCAACUUACCUCAACAUCUGCAGGUCAAGAGUCAUUGUAGAAUAAUGCCUGCAUCUUACACAGAUUUUAUAUGAAAGUAUAUCCAUUCCUUACAACAACAUUCACAUCUAAAUUUCAUAGAAUUGUAGAAUGGUUUGGGUUGAAAGGGACCUUUAAGAUCAUCUAGUUCCAAACCCCUCUUCUAUAGGCAGGGACACUUUCCUCUAGACCAUGUUGCUCAAAACCCCAUUCAGCCUGGUCUUGAAUGCCUCCAGGGAGGGGGCAUCCACAGCCUAUCUGGGUAACCUGUUCCAGGGGCUCACCACCCUCAUAGUAAAUAAUUUCUUCCAAAUAUCUACCCUUGUUCGGUUUAAAGCCAUUUCCCCUUGUCCUGUUGCCACACGUCCUUAUAAAAUGUUCCUUACCAGCUUUCAUGUAGGCCCCCCCUUUCAGGUACCGGAAGAACACUAUAAGGUCUCCCCGGAGCCCUCUCUUCUCUAUGCUGAAGAGGACCAAUUUUCUCAUCUUGUCCACAUAGGGGAGGUGCCCAAGCCCUCUGAUCAUCUUCAUGGCCCUCUUCUGGGCUCACUCCGAUAGCACAAGUAGAGGGACAGAAUCACCUCCCUUGAUCUGCUGGUCAUGCUUCUCUUGUUGCAGGCCUGGAUAUGGUUGCCCUUCUGGGCUGCAAGCGCACACUGCCAUCUCAUGUUAAGUCUUCCAUCAACCAACAUCUCCAGUCUUUCUCCUCAGGCUUGCUCUGAAGCCAUUCUCCACCCAGCCUGUAUCUGUGCUUGGGAUUGCCCUGACCCAGGUGCAGGACCUUGUAUUCAGCUUUGUUGAUCUUCAUGAGGCUGGCAUGGGCCUACCUCUCAGGCCUGUCCAGGUCCCUCUGGAUGAUGUCUUUUCGAUCUAGUGUGUGAGCUGCACCACUCAGCUUGGUGUCAUCUGCAAACUUUCUGAGGUUGCACUCAAUCCCACUGUCCAUGACACCUACAAAGGUGUUAAAUAACAUCGGUCCCAGCACUGACCCCUGAGGAA
ensembl:lncRNA